AGUGAACGCUGGCGGUAGGCCUAACACAUGCAAGUCGAACGGCAGCACAGUAAGAGCUUGCUCUUACGGGUGGCGAGUGGCGGACGGGUGAGGAAUACAUCGGAAUCUACUUUUUCGUGGGGGAUAACGUAGGGAAACUUACGCUAAUACCGCAUACGACCUACGGGUGAAAGCAGGGGAUCUUCGGACCUUGCGCGAUUGAAUGAGCCGAUGUCGGAUUAGCUAGUUGGCGGGGUAAAGGCCCACCAAGGCGACGAUCCGUAGCUGGUCUGAGAGGAUGAUCAGCCACACUGGAACUGAGACACGGUCCAGACUCCUACGGGAGGCAGCAGUGGGGAAUAUUGGACCAUGGGCGCAAGCCUGAUCCAGCCAUACCGCGUGGGUGAAGAAGGCCUUCGGGCUGUAAAGCCCUUUUGUUGGGAAAGAAAAGCAGCAGGUUAAUACCCCGCUGUUCUGACGGUACCCAAAGAAUAAGCACCGGCUAACUUCGUG
rnacentral:rRNA from 1 species